AAAUGGAGAAAGAACGAAAGAAAAAAUAAGAUAUAUACACAACACGACUUGUUUUCUGUUUUCGACCAGAGGCUGUUUUUGUUUUUGUUGUUGUUGGUUUCU
rnacentral:ribozyme from 1 species